UCGCAGCUGUCACAGUCCGAUUUGCUUUGUUGUACAUUCCUGUUACAACCCGUUUUGACACUAGUAUUUGUUGGAAAUGCUACUUUGGCACCGCUGCGAUUAUACUCAUCAAGGGGCAGGAAAAUGCUUAAAUCACAGGCGAAAAUCGUCUUCACUUUACAAUCACUGUCAUGCUCUUUGUACCUUUCACGAUAGUGACUCCUUCGCAUUUUGACAUGAAUCCUCUUGUUUUUACGCUACAGCGAGAGAGAUCCGUUGGUAACUGGUCUAGUCUAAUCCAUCCCCAGUCGCUGUUGGAUUUUGUCCGGGACAUUUAUCCCACCGAUAUUCAGGAACACAAGCCUAUGUCCAGAAAGAGAAACUGCUGGACUACUUUGAGAGGAUACAACCACGGGUGGUGAAUUAUCAAAGCCCAAAUCAUUCCAAUAUGGACGAUGUCAUAUACUAGGCUGUUCACCAAAUAAACGCUACGAUCGCUGUUAUCUGAAACUGUGUAUUUCACUCUUUUAUUUCAGAUACUGAUGCUGCUUCUCAAUAAUUUUAAUGAAACAAGUUUACUGAACAGAAAUACUAGUAACAAAAUUGAUUGUGCAACUCAGUUACUCGUAAUUUCAUUUGUAGUUUAUAUUUUAUAUUAAAACUGUGUCAAGAUCAUUGUUUUUCCUUGAGGCAACCAUUGUCUUUGUUAAAAAUUAAUAAAUUAAUGAAUGAAGGAAUGAAUAAAAAA